UACGGAGGGGGCUAGCGUUGUUCGGAAUUACUGGGCGUAAAGCGCACGUAGGCGGCUUGGUAAGUUAGAGGUGAAAGCCUGGAGCUCAACUCCAGAAUUGCCUUUAAGACUGCCGAGCUAGCAGGUGAGAGAGGUGAGUGGAAUUCCGAGUGUAGAGGUGAAAUUCGUAGAUAUUCGGAAGAACACCAGUGGCGAAGGCGGCCCACUGGACGUGUAUUGACGCUGAGGUGCGAAAGCGUGGGGAGCAAACAGG
rnacentral:rRNA from 1 species